CGCGUGGAUAACCUGCCGCAUACCGGGGGAUAACAGCUGGAAACAGCUGCUAAUACCGCAUAUGCCCGCAGUGCUGCAUGGCACAGCGGGGAAAACUCCGGUGGUAUGCGAUGGGUCCGCGUCUGAUUAGGCAGUUGGCGGGGUAACGGCCCACCAAACCGACGAUCAGUAGCCGGCCUGAGAGGGCGGACGGCCACACUGGGACUGAGACACGGCCCAG
rnacentral:rRNA from 1 species